rnacentral:lncRNA from 1 species
ACUUAAUUUGGUAGUCUGUCACAAACUAGUCAAAUUAUCAAAUACAAUCACUAAGAAUUUACAAUGUGAAAAUGUUCACAUCACAAAUAAAUGAAUCUCACAUGAUAUGUAAAAAAAAAAAAAAAAAGUCCAUUGAAUUUUAUAAACUGACCUUGCCACUGAAAAUGGGUGUAAUAGGAGCAUCAAGAUAUCCCUUGCAAGGUUCUUUUUUUCCCUCAGCAGUCAUGCUUGAGUAAUUUUUACUUGAAAUUGUGGAACAAACAUCUCCAUCUUGGGAUUCAGUAAUUUCACUUUUUUUUUAAAGCAUGGACAUUUCAGAACAUCACUUCCUGAGUAAAAAAUUAUCAAACUACGACUCUCAAGACUAAUGGACUGUAAUAAAGAGAAUAUGGUUUUAUCCCUUACUCCUUCCUCUUCCCGGUUCAUUAUAGAUGAUGUCCUCCAAUAAACUACAUCUCUUUAUUUCCAUGCACUCAAGUUGCACAAGCUCCACAGCCAAGGGAAGAGUAAAUAAAAUCCAUCCUGCUAAACAAACACACCGCAUUACUUGAAGAAUAAAAAAAAUUACUCUCAAACUGUCACCGUUAUUUCGCAUUGAGGUUGCGCUGCCAAAUCCAAUUCUCAAAAUGUCCAUGCAUCAGUUGAAUAUACUGAAGCUUUGGUGUGCUUAUUCCUCCAGCAGAAAAUGUCCCCAUAUUAGGGCAUCUAUGAACAGUUAGUAGUUCCAAUGAUGGGAUUUUGAGUGUGAUCAUUUCUUCGCAUUGCAAUAAAAACUCCUGAAUUACACAAAGCAAAAAAUAAAAAUAAAGAAGAAUCUUGCACAGAUACAGUUUCAAAAUUGGGUAAUCUUUGAGGGAAUCCAAACAGAGCAGCAGUUGAUUUCUCUGGAAAUGAAACCAUUUUGCUACUAGGAUUGCA